GCCAGCAGCUAUAUCACCCUGCAGCUCUCAACUGGCUACCCACUGAAGCUAAGCAGGGUUGAGCCUGGCCAGUACCUGCAUGGGUGACCUCCUGGAAAGCUAUGGUUGCUGCUGGAA
rfam:Lepisosteus oculatus linkage group LG14, whole genome shotgun sequence.